GCUAUUGUAAUAUUGCAGGUAGGAGAUCAUGAGCCUCGGUGGCUUGAGUGGACAUGGAAAGAGAAAUAGGAAGACAUCAAAGGGCAUCAUGCACGAAGAAUUAAGGGAAAUGUGUAAUGUGAAGUUAACCUCAAUGUGAUGUGCCAAGGGCAUGUGAAAUCACAAGGAGAAAGUGCAGUAUUUACUGAGUGAGCAGCUAUUCCAGUCAAUGAGAAGGGAAAUUACUUAUCAUCAAACUUAAUGCAUGAAGAGGCAGGGGAUUCUAGGAAGAUGGACGUUUCUGCAUUCUUGCUACUCUCAACUCCAUUCCAACUCAUCUGUCUCUCCUCAGCCAGUGACUCCUGAGGGCAGUGUCAGACAUUUCAGCUAGUGCCUCUGUACUCUGAAAAAUACCUGGAAAGGACACACCAGAAAGAAGAAGCCACUGAACAGGAAAAGGCCAUGAGAGAUGAGAAGAUGAUCAACGGAAGAGGAUAUAGGAUGAAGAUACACAAGUUCGGGUGGGGAGGAGAUGAAGAAAAAGAAGAGGAUAAUUGGAAGGAAAUAUCUUUCUCUACCCCUGACCAAAUUGACUGGUUUGAGUUUGUUGCCUGACGUAAGCAGCAUCAAUGGGCCCAAGGCUGUGGUACAUAAAGCCCACAAACUAUGUGGAUCACGGUAUUCAUCCAGAUUGGAGAAGAAUAAGGCUGCCAUUUUAGGCCAAAAGGGAGGAGAAUAAGUACCUACAACUACCUGAAGUUAACUCAGUUGUUUAUUUACUGCCUGUCUCACCUAUUAGAAUAUACAUUCCACUGAGCAGUGACUUCAUCCUGUUCAAUCACCUUUGAUCUUCACUGCCAAGAAUAAAACUGAAGAAGUAAACAUGUGCCUGUCUGGGCCGUUGAAGAAUGAGAGGUUUGUGAAGCAAAGCUGAGAUGCUUCAGUCUUCCAACCAUGGACAUCGUCAGUCAGCUGACAGCCAGCUAACCCCAGACAUGAGAAUGAGCCCAGCCAAGAUCAGUAGCACCACCGAAGCCACUAACAGUCAACCACAGAGGAACAUUUGGCUAAUAAGAUUAUACCAGAUCAUCCACCAAUGUGCCAUCCUAACUAUGUAAAUGACAGAGAUCUGAAGAUCAUUUUGUUUUCUAUAUGACAAAGUGAAAGUUAUUUACCUCUAUACUAAACAUGUACUGGAAUUGAUAUCAUUAAAUUUUGCCUUA
rnacentral:lncRNA from 1 species